rnacentral:miRNA from 1 species
UGGCUCGGUGAGCGACGGUC